CAUGCAAGUCGAGCGGUCAAAAUGAGGGGGCUUGCCCCUGAAAGACGAGCGGCGGACGGGUGAGUAAUGCGCGGGAACGCGCCCUUUGGAGGGGGACAACCUUGGGAAACCAGGGCUAAUACCGCAUAACCUCCACGGAGCAAAGCGGGGGAUUUCUUCGGAAACCUCGCGCCAAAGGAGCGGCCCGCGUCCGAUUAGUUUGACGGCGGGGUAACAGCCCACCGUGACUACCAUCGGUAGCUGGUCUGAGAGGAUGAUCAGCCACACCGGGACUGAGACACGGCCCGGACUCCUACGGGAGGCAGCAGUGGGGAAUAUUGGACAAUGGGGGCAACCCUGAUCCAGCGAUGCCGCGUGUGUGAAGAAGGCCUUCGGGUUGUAAAGCACUUUCGCAGGGGAAGAAACGGUGCGCUCUAACAUAGCGCGCAACUGACGGUACCCUGAAAAGAAGCGCCGGCUAAUUCCGUGCCAGCAGCCGCGGUAAUACGGAAGGCGCAAGCGUUAAUCGGAAUGACUGGGCGUAAAGCGUGCGCAGGCGGCCGCGCAAGUCGGAUGUGAAAGCCCCGGGCUCAACCCGGGAAUGGCGUUCGAAACUGCGCG
rnacentral:rRNA from 1 species